rnacentral:rRNA from 1 species
UACGGAGGAUGCGAGCGUUAUCCGGAUUUAUUGGGUUUAAAGGGUGCGUAGGCGGCUUAGUAAGUCAGCGGUGAAAUUUUGCAGCUUAACUGUAAAAUUGCCGUUGAAACUGCCGGUCUUGAGUGCAAAUGAGGUAGGCGGAAUGCGUCGUGUAGCGGUGAAAUGCUUAGAUAUGACGCAGAACUCCGAUUGCGAAGGCAGCUUACUGGGAUGCAACUGACGCUGAGGCACGAAAGCGUGGGGAUCAAACAGGAUUAGAUA